rnacentral:rRNA from 1 species
UACGUAGGGUGCAAGCGUUGUCCGGAAUUAUUGGGCGUAAAGAGCUCGUAGGCGGUUUGUUGCGUCGGCUGUGAAAUCCCGAGGCUCAACCUCGGGUCUGCAGUCGAUACGAGCAAACUAGAGUGUUGCAGGGGAGACUGGAAUUCCUGGUGUAGCGGUGAAAUGCGCAGAUAUCAGGAGAAACACCGGUGGCGAAGGCGGGUCUCUGGGCAACAACUGACGCUGAGGCGCGAAAGCUAGGGGAGCAAACGGG